rnacentral:rRNA from 1 species
GACGUAGGGGGCAAGCGUUGUCCGGAUUUACUGGGCGUAAAGAGCUCGUAGGCGGUCUGUUAAGUGAAUGGUGAAAUCUCCAGCGCUCAACGCGGAAAUUGCUUUUCAUACUGGCAGACUUGAGGAAUGCAGAGACAGCUGGAAUUCCUGGUGUACCGGUGAAAUGCGCAGAUAUCAGGAGGAACACCGGUGGCGAAGGCGGGUCUCUGGGCCGAUACUGACGCUGAGGAGCGAAA